rnacentral:lncRNA from 1 species
AUUAAAAAUAUAUAUAGUUAUAAACAUUAAUUAAACUAAAAAAUCCCUAACCCUAAACAAAAAGCUCUCCCUCUCGGCCUCCCCUCCUUGCUUCCUCUUCUCAUUUUCUGUGAACUGUGGCCGACGACUUCUGCAGUAGUCACAGCAGCCCCUUAGCAGCAGCCACAGCAGCCCCGUUCAGCUCCAACAGACACCAACAACAGCAGCUCGCAGCAGCCAGCAGCAGCAGCUCGCAGCCGCCAGCAGCAGUAGCUCAGCCAGCAGCAGCAGCCACCAGCAGCAGCAGCAGCAGCCACCAGCAGCCACCAGCAGCAGCAGCAGCAGCCAGCAGCAGCGGCCAACAGCCCCAUUCACCGUCUCACUCCCUCCCACGACAAGAACACUCACAGCAGCAGCCAGCAUCUCCGUUCACCGCAGCCCACUCACGUCAGCCAGCACGCCUUGCCCGCAACUGCGCUGUGCGUUCGCCGUUCAGCUCGCGUCCCACUCAG